UUCUAGGUGCAAAGGCUGGAGGGUGGAAUUCAUUUUUGAGAGGUGUGUGAGCAGCUUCCGACCCCUGCCCCAUUUGAACGGGGGCCUUGCUGGUCGCGUCCCUGCAUUCACCCGCGCGGCCAUCCCGUCAUCCAACAGUUGAUCCUAACUGAGCACGCCCACGGCCCUGGUCUGGCCUGGGCACCGGCCACCGUAGCCCAUCCCUUGAUGGCCUCUGUGUCCCCAGGAGGGCGGGCCGGGGGGUUGCCCAGGGGCUGGAGCAGUGGACUGUGGCUCCAUAGAGGUAGGCCGGAGGGUGUGAGGGCAGAUUCAAGCUAUCCCCAGGGCUCUGCUCUGGUCGGAGCCAGCCCCUUCUCCCUCUCUGCCUUCCCCGCCCCAUUCCUGAUGCUGAACUGUUCUGGACCCCUGGCCCUGAGUCUCUCAGGACCAAAGUGGGCACGGGAACAGCUGUAGUGUGUGCCCCCCCGG
rnacentral:lncRNA from 1 species